CCUACGGGAGGCAGCAGUGAGGAAUAUUGGACAAUGGGCGCAAGCCUGAUCCAGCCAUGCCGCGUGCAGGAAGACGGUCCUAUGGAUUGUAAACUGCUUUUGUACAGGAAGAAACACUCCCUCGUGAGGGAGCUUGACGGUACUGUAAGAAUAAGGAUCGGCUAACUCCGUGCCAGCAGCCGCGGUAAUACGGAGGAUCCAAGCGUUAUCCGGAAUCAUUGGGUUUAAAGGGUCCGUAGGCGGUUUAAUAAGUCAGUGGUGAAAUCUGGUCGCUCAACGAUCAAACGGCCAUUGAUACUGUUAGACUUGAAUUAUUAGGAAGUAACUAGAAUAUGUAGUGUAGCGGUGAAAUGCUUAGAUAUUACAUGGAAUACCAAUUGCGAAGGCAGGUUACUACUAAUGGAUUGACGCUGAUGGACGAAAGCGUGGGGAGCGAACAGGAUUAGAUACCCUGGUAGUCCACGCCGUAAACGAUGGAUACUAGCUGUUCGGAGCAAUCUGAGUGGCUAAGCGAAAGUGAUAAGUAUCCCACCUGGGGAGUACGUUCGCAAGAUGAAACUCAAAUGAAUUGACCGGNNGAGAGAGCGAGAGACGACGAGGGAGAGG
rnacentral:rRNA from 1 species